UGUUGAAUUGACCUUUUGUGAGUGCACCUGC
rnacentral:piRNA from 1 species